AAUAAGGAGGCCAGGACGGGGAAUGAAAUUGAAGUCCCGCAAUGCUCUUGCUUGGGGAAUGAAAGCGGUGUAAGGAUGAGGGGUUCGUGACAUCACAAGGAGAGAUUCACCUUAUAUAGCUCAGCAAACUGUCGUGAAAACAGAAGGCAACCGGGAGAGAAAUAUCAAAUUUUGCUUUUCAUCGUCUUCCUCUUCUUCUCUCUGCUCUUCUCCUCUACCUGUCGAAUCUCCUUCGAUUACCUUCUUCUUCUUCUUUGUUAUUUCCUUCGAGAUAUAACACAAGGCCACGGAGACAAAAGAAAAGAAAUAACACUCCCCGAGAAUUACUGUCAUUAUCAUUGGAUAAUGUAGGUGAAAGACAAGGCGGUCUUUGCCUUCAAGUUUUUCUCAAGCUCGUGAAGCCGCGAAAAGAUUUUAAGGUCAUUUCACAUGGUCAAAUGAGGCAAAGCUACAUGAAAAGUGGAGCCGUGAGCAUACGUAAUGAAUUCAUUAGGUGGACAGAGAUAGAGACCGGAUUCCAUCCCGUGGAGCUGAGGCAUGAGGGCGGAUCCUGGCCGGUGAGAUGCUAUGCUGCCCAGAGCCAGAGUAGCAACUUGGGAAAGCUCUGCCAUGGGUUGUGUCUUUGAGCUGAUCAAGGGGAACGCCUUCUAUGUUCACAUAUUCAGGCAUUCAGCUCAUUUUUAGUCUUAGCAUGUGAGUCUGAUGGCUGAGGUUCAUUUUGCUGCGUUGUGGUCAUGCAGCAGUUGCAAUCAACUGUCUGUUAGGUACUCAUCAGUUGUCUCUUCCUCUCUGUUCUUACUUUAAUGGGAUAGUUAGUAGACCCAGUGAAUGACACUGAAAA